GCAUUAAUGGGGUAGUGGUAACCUGGGUCGUUGCCAUAGCGCUAUUGUCUUUGUGCUUUCGACCCGCCGGGGGUUCGAUUCCCUCUUAAUGCA